CCUACGGGAUGCUGCAGUGGGGAAUAUUGGACAAUGGGCGAAAGCCUGAUCCAGCCAUGCCGCGUGUGUGAAGAAGGCCUUCGGGUUGUAAAGCACUUUCAGUGGGGAAGAAAGCCUUGGGGCUAAUACCCUCGAGGAAGGACAUCACCCACAGAAGAAGCACCGGCUAACUCCGUGCCAGCAGCCGCGGUAAUACGGAGGGUGCGAGCGUUAAUCGGAAUUACUGGGCGUAAAGCGCGCGUAGGCGGUCUGAUAAGCCGGUUGUGAAAGCCCCGGGCUCAACCUGGGAACGGCAUCCGGAACUGUCAGGCUAGAGUGCAGGAGAGGAAGGUAGAAUUCCCGGUGUAGCGGUGAAAUGCGUAGAGAUCGGGAGGAAUACCAGUGGCGAAGGCGGCCUUCUGGACUGACACUGACGCUGAGGUGCGAAAGCGUGGGUAGCAAACAGGAUUAGAUACCCGGGUAGUC
rnacentral:rRNA from 1 species